rnacentral:rRNA from 1 species
UGGGGAAUAUUGCACAAUGGGCGCAAGCCUGAUGCAGCGACGCCGCGUGGGGGAUGACGGCCUUCGGGUUGUAAACUCCUUUCGCCAGGGACGAAGCGUUUUGUGACGGUACCUGGAGAAGAAGCACCGGCUAACUACGUGCCAGCAGCCGCGGUAAUACGUAGGGUGCAAGCGUUGUCCGGAAUUACUGGGCGUAAAGAGCUCGUAGGUGGUUUGUCACGUCGUCUGUGAAAUUCCACAGCUUAACUGUGGGCGUGCAGGCGAUACGGGCUGACUUGAGUACUGUAGGGGUAACUGGAAUUCCUGGUGUAGCGGUGAAAUGCGCAGAUAUCAGGAGGAACACCGAUGGCGAAGGCAGGUUACUGGGCAGCUACUGACGCUGAGGAGCGAAAGCAUGGGUAGCAAACAGGAUUAGAUACCCUGGUAGUCCAUGCCGUAAACGGUGGGCGCUAGGUGUAGGGACCUUUUGGGGUUUCUGUGCCGUAGCUAACGCAUUAAGCGCCCCGCCUGGGGAGUACGGCCGCAAGGCUA